CUGGACUCCAACUGCUAUGCUGAUGCUGAGGUAUGUGUGAAGAGACGUGGAGGGGUGGUGGUUGACCUUGUGGGACCCAGAAGGGGUUUUAUUUUGCUGUUUUUCUUGAUUCAGGACUUUUCAACCUUUCUGUCUGAAAGUGGUGUUGGGUUAGACCUCCCCUCUCUUUCCGUCUGUCUGUGGUGUCAGGUUAGACCUCCCCUCUCUUUCCGUCUGUCUGUGGUCAGGUUAGACCUCCCCUCUCUUUCUGUCUGUCUGUGGUGUCAAGUUAGACCUCCCCUCUCUCUCUUUCUGUCUGUCUGUGGUGUCAGGUUAGACCUCCCCUCUCUUUCUGUCUGUCUGCAGUAUCAGGUCAGGCCCCCCCCUGUUUCCGUCUGUCUGUGGUGUCAGGUUAGACCUCCCCUCUCUUUCUGUCUGUGGUGUCAGGUUAGACCUCCCCUCUCUUUCUGUCUGUCUGCGGUAUCAGGUCAGGCCUCCCCUCUCUUUCCGUCUGUCUGUGGUGUCAGGUUAGACCUCCCCUCUCUUUCUGUCUGUGGUGUCAGGUUAGACCUCCUCUCUCUUUCUGUCUGUCUGUGGUGUCAAGUUAGAUCUCCCUUCUCUCUCUUUCUGUCUGUCUGUGGUGUCAGGUUAGACCUCCCCUGUCUUUCCGUCUGUCUGUGGUGUCAAGUUAGACCUCCCCUCUUUUUCCGUCUGUCUGUGGUGUCAAGUCAGACCUCCCGUCUCUUUCUGUCUGUCUGUGGUGUCAGGUUAGACCUCCCCUCUCUUUCUGUCUGUCUGUGGUGUCAAGUUAGACCUCCCCUCUCUCUCUUUCUGUCUGUCUGUGGUGUCAGGUUAGACCUCCCCUCUCUUUCUGUCUGUCUGUGGUGUCAAGUUAGACCUCCCCUCUCUCUCUUUCCGUCUGUCUGUGGUGUCAGGUUAGACCUCCCCUCUCUUUCUGUCUGUCUGUGGUGUCAAGUUAGACCUCCCCUCUCUCUCUGUCUCUCUGUCUGUGGUGUCAGGUUAGACCUCCCCUCUCUUUCCGUCUGUCUGUGGUGUAAGGUUAGACCUCCCCUCUCUUUCUGUCUGUGGUGUCAGGUUAGACCUCCCCUGUCUUUCCGUCUGUCUGUAGUGUCAGGUUAGACCUCCGCUCUUUUUCUGUCUGUCUGUGGUGUCAAGUUAGACCUCCCCUCUCUUUCCGUCUGUCUGUGGUGUCAAGUUAGACCUCCCCUCUCUCUCUUUCUGUCUGUCUGUGGUGUCAGGUUAGACCUCCCCUCUCUUUCCAUCUGUCUGUGGGGUCAGGUUAGACCUCCCCUCUCUAUCUGUCUGUGGUGUCAGGUCAGACCUCCCCUCUCUUUCUGUCUGUCUGUGGUGUCAGGUUAGACCUCCCCUCUCUAUCUGUCUGUGGUGUCAGGUUAGACCUCCCCUCUCUUUCCGUCUGUCUGUGGUGUCAAGUUAGACCUCCCUUCUCUAGCUGUCCACUCUAUCUGUCUGUUGUGUCAGGUUAGACCUCCCCUCUCUUUCCGUCUGUCUGUGGUGUCAAGUUAGACCUCCCUUCUCUAGCUGUCCACUCUAUCUGUCUGUUGUGUCAGGUUAGACCUCCCCUCUCUAUCUGUCUGUGGUGUCAAGUUAGACCUCCCCUCUCUAUCUGUCUGUGGUGUCAGGUUAGACCUCCCCUCUCUUUCCGUCUGUCUGUGGUGUCAGGUUAGACCUCCCCUCUCUGGACAGACAGACAGACACUGGACAGACAGACAGACACUGAACAGACAGACACUGAACAGACAGACAGACACUGAACAGACAGACAGACACUGGACAGACAGACACUGGACAGACAGACAGACAGACAGACAGACAGACAGACAGACAGACAGACAGACAGACAGACAGACACUGAACAGACAGACACUGGACAGACAGACAGACACUGAACAGACAGACAGACAGACACUGGACAGACAGACACUGAACACACAGACAGACACUGGACAGACAGACACUGAACAGACAGACACUGGACAGACAGACAGACACUGGACAGACAGACAGACACUGAACAGACAGACAGACACUGAACAGGCAGACACUGAACAGGCAGACACUGGACAGACAGACACUGAACAGACAGACACUGGACAGACAGACAGACAGACACUGAACAGACAGACAGACACUGAACAGACAGACACUGGACAGACAGACACUGGACAGACAGACAGACACUGAACAGGCAGACACUGGACAGACAGACAGACACUGGACAGACAGACACUGAACAGACAGACAGACACUGGACAGACAGACACUGAACAGACAGACACUAGACAGACAGACAGACACUGAACAGACAGACAGACACUGAAUAGACAGACACUGGACAGACAGACACUGGACAGACAGACAGACACUGAACAGGCAGACACUGGACAGACAGACAGACACUGGACAGACAGACACUGAACAGACAGACACUGGACAGACAGACAGACACUGGACAGACAGACACUGAACAGACAGACAGAUACUGAACAGGCAGACACUGGACAGACAGACAGACACUGGACAGACAGACACUGAACAGACAGAUACUGGACAGACAGACAGACACUGGACAGACAGACAGACACUGGACAGACAGACAGACACUGGACAGACAGACACUGGACAGAGAGACAGUGGACAGACAGACACUGAAUAGUUAACCUUUAUUUAUAUGGAUGACGCUGGGCCACACUGUACCAUGUCUACCCAAAAUAGUUCACUUUUAUUUAACUAGGCCAGUCUGUCUACAA
rnacentral:lncRNA from 1 species